UCAACGAGCAUUUCCGAUCAGUAAUUUUUACGCAAGGAGAAUUUUUUCCUCAAAACGCAAGCGUCGUUUCGCGAUUGAAGUCGAAUAUUGCUGCUUCGGUUGCGAUCUUGCAAUGUUCAACCACAGCACUAGAGCCGGCGGUGCAGGUAUAAAAGAUUAAAGAUAUCAUGCACAUGCAGAUAUGAUAUGAUGGUGACAAUCACCGCGAUGUAUUGCAACACGAUUUGAUGGCGUCAUCGAGUGUCUGCAGUGUGAGGUACUUCAAAUAUAUACGUCAUUAUAAUACGUCGGAUCAGUCAAUCAAAAUAGCAUCAUAUGGGGACCGAUUCAGUGGAGCGUACGGUCCAAAUCCAUAUAAGCCCCGUCCCGUGGAAUGACAGUGUCACACUGUCAGACGCAUUUGGAAACCACGCGUAGUUCUCGACUUUCAGAAUAAAAGAAGAAAACGCAUUCUAAAAAGAUAAGUACGUAGCCACACAUCAUGAAAAAUACCCAAGUAUUUUUACUGAUCGCCGUAAUAUCUUUGAUCGGGACCUCAGUUGAAGGUUUCUUGUUUCCUCAAGCGAAACCUUGUGUUGAUAAAGGUAAAUUUUGCCUGCCAAUAUUUUGUCGUCGUGAGGGGUAUGAAAAGGAGUGUUCUAAAACGUGUGGAGCAUGUGUCGGGGGCGACAACUGCAAGGCUUUGGUUACUAAAUGCAUCAUUAGUCAUGCCUUUAAUGUUUGUGCUAAUUCGGGAUGUGUUCUUGGAGUGGCAACAAAUCUGAUUAGUUGCCCAUUAACAUCUCCCUAUCGAAAAGAGAAACUUGGAAAGGUUGUUGCGGAUUUGGGAAAAGCUUGUGCCAUUGUCAAAGCAUUGCAAGGAUAAAAAUAUAUUUUUCAUUUGUUAUUUUGUAUUUUAAAUAAAAAAUUAAGUCAAAACCGUACUCUCGACU